rnacentral:lncRNA from 1 species
UCCUCGAAGAUAACACAACAAUCCAUAUCAUCCUCCAGAAACAGGUUCUUCAUUGCUGCCAGGGCCUCGUGUUCCUCUAAUCCAUAUUUAAUGUUGGCCGGUCGAAAAGUAUGCUCCAGCUGGGGUAUGGGAUGUUCCAAUGGAUAGUAGGGACCACACAAUGGUGGCGACCAAUGAUUGAACUCUUCCCAGGUGUACUCAUACCCCGGGCUAAAAGUAGUACCAUACUUCUUCAACUUGAUAGGCUUGGUGAUGCCCUGGAGAUUCUUACCAAGUCCCUUUCUGAGCUCGUACCCACUCCAAUUCAGAAUGCUCUAAAUUUUGUUAGCCC